CCAGGGUUGGCGAGUAAGGCACACUUUAUGCACCGAACCGAAGAUGCGUUACGAGACUGCAGCCGUUUUUGUCCUCGGACAACAGGCCGGUUUCACCUCCAGAGCUUGUUCCUGGGCCGAGGUGAGGACCGCAGAUGAGCCAGGAACACGGCAUUGUGGCUGAAGAUAAGGAAGUCCUCCAAAACCAAAAUGGGGGCCAUGGCAGGGGACACAGGAGCCACCGAGAGUGGAACCAUCUGACUAACAAGCGAGCACUGGAUUCUGACCCCCGAGUCUACACCGUUGACGUUUUGCAGAAGUCUUUUCUGCAAGGGCUGCAAAGCAGAAUGUCAGUGCGGUCCUGUCUAAGCUGCGGAACAGGAUGGCAGUGCUGUUUGAUCUUAGCUGUCCUGACUCCAUAUUUCCUUGCUGGGACCUUGGCCCCGACUCCCUGACUGUCCAACACCCUCCUCACAAAUUCAUGUCAAAGCCGCUUAAGGAGUAGGGCCGGACCUACCCAUCCCUUCAGUCUGGGCGCCGCUAGGGGACUUGCUUCCAGAGCGUAGUGUGGAACCUGGGCGGACGGGAACGCUGCACACCAGCCGGGGCUGAGGUUCACGUCACCAGUGAGAGCCUGGGGAGAGCGCGGACCCAGACAGGCCGUGAUGAGAAGACCUUCACGUCUGUGAGCUCCCUCCUGAACCCAUCACCCUGAUCCAAGUACGAACCAAACAUCAGGGACGUUCUACCAAGGAUCUGCCAGUCCUCCUCAAAAUGGUCAAGGUCAUCAAAAACAAGAGAAACCUGAGACACUCACAGCCAAGAGGAGACCUGACAACUCAAUAUAAUGUGACCUGGAUGGGAUCCUGGAACAGAAAAGAGGCAUUUGGUGAAAACCAGGGAUAACCUGAAUAACACAUGGCGUUCAGUUAAUAAUGGAUCAGUGUUGGUUCAUGCGUUGUGGCAAAGUACCUCAACAAUGUAACAGUAGUAGAAACUGGGUGCUGGGCCCUCGGGAAC